rnacentral:rRNA from 1 species
GACGAACGCUGGCGACGUGCCUAAUACAUGCAAGUUGAGCGCUGAAGGUUGGUACUUGUACCAACUGGAUGAGCAGCGAACGGGUGAGUAACGCGUGGGGAAUCUGCCUUUGAGCGGGGGACAACAUUUGGAAACGAAUGCUAAUACCGCAUAAAAACUUUAAACACAAGUUUUAAGUUUGAAAGAUGCAAUUGCAUCACUCAAAGAUGAUCCCGCGUUGUAUUAGCUAGUUGGUGAGGUAAAGGCUCACCAAGGCGAUGAUACAUAGCCGACCUGAGAGGGUGAUCGGCCUCAUUGGGACUGAGACACGGCCCAAACUCCUACGGGAGGCAGCAGUAGGGAAUCUUCGGCAAUGGACGAAAGUCUGACCGAGCAACGCCGCGUGAGUGAAGAAGGGUUUCGGAUCGUAAAACUCUGUUGGUAGAGAAGAACGUUGGUGAGAGUGGAAAGCUCAUCAAGUGACGGUAACUACCCAGAAAGGGACGGCUAACUACGUG